rnacentral:rRNA from 1 species
AUUGAACGCUGGCGGCAUGCCUUACACAUGCAAGUCGAACGGCAGCACGGGUGCUUGCACCUGGUGGCGAGUGGCGAACGGGUGAGUAAUACAUCGGAACAUGUCCUCUAGUGGGGGAUAGCCCGGCGACAGCCGGAUUAAUACCGCAUACGAUCUACGGAUGAAAGCGGGGGACCUCCGGGCCUCGCGCUAUAGGGUUGGCCGAUGGCUGAUUAGCUAGUUGGUGGGGUAAAGGCCUACCAAGGCUACGAUCAGUAGCUGGUCUGAGAGGACGACCAGCCACACGGGGACUGAGACAGGGCCGAGACUCCUACGGGAGGCAGCAGUGGGGAAUUUUGGACAAGGGGCGAAAGCCUGAUCCAGCAAUGCCGCGUGUGUGAAGAAGGCCUUCUGGUUGUAAAGCACUUUUGUCCGGAAAGUAAUCCUUGGCCCUAAUACGGUCGGGGGAUGACGGUACCGGAAGAAUAAGCACCGGCUAACUACGUG